CUUCUCUAAAGUCUUGAAGACGUGUUUUCACAAGACCUGCAUAUGAAAGAGUGUUUUGAUAGAAGUAGUCCUGUUUCUGAAACUGGGAUUCAUUUAAUUUAAUUUUAGCCAUCUAGAAGUUUGUGUACUAAUUGAAUUGAACUUGAAGAUUAGUGUACUAAUCACCAGGGCUCCCUUGUCUGGCUUCACUGGAGUGAGAAAUAAGCACCUAUGGUGUUGCCCCAUCUCCUGCAGAUGUGUAGCUCAGGAUGGGAUCUAUUCCUUUCAGCUAUCUUUACCUACCUCUUUUUCUCUCUUCACUGUAGGAGGAACCCAACUGAUCUGAUGGGAUGCUUGGCUCUCAGGUGGCUGCUGUUGGCACUGAUGGAGUUCAUCCUGAGAAUACCUGAGCUGUGUGAUGUGGAAGGCAUUAAGCACGAUGCUGUAUUUUGAAUGAAGGGUACCCUGGCCCUGAACAUUCUCCAAGGAAAACAUCACAGUGUUUCAACACAAGAUGUCUAAAUAAAAUGCUGUAUCUUUUCUAACA
rnacentral:lncRNA from 1 species